rnacentral:rRNA from 1 species
AACGAACGCUGGCGGCGUGCCUAACACAUGCAAGUCGAACGAGAUCUUCGGAUCUAGUGGCGCACGGGUGCGUAACGCGUGGGAAUCUGCCCUUGGGUUCGGAAUAACUCAGAGAAAUUUGAGCUAAUACCGGAUGAUGUCGAAAGACCAAAGAUUUAUCGCCCAGGGAUGAGCCCGCGUAGGAUUAGCUAGUUGGUGGGGUAAAGGCCUACCAAGGCGACGAUCCUUAGCUGGUCUGAGAGGAUGAUCAGCCACACUGGGACUGAGACACGGCCCAGACUCCUACGGGAGGCAGCAGUGGGGAAUAUUGGACAAUGGGCGAAAGCCUGAUCCAGCAAUGCCGCGUGAGUGAUGAAGGCCUUAGGGUUGUAAAGCUCUUUUACCCGGGAUGAUAAUGACAGUACCGGGAGAAUAAGCCCCGGCUAACUCCGUG